rnacentral:rRNA from 1 species
GUUUUUCCCCGGGAAAUCUAGCAUAUCAAUAAGCGGAGGAAAAGAAACUAACAAGGAUUCCCCUAGUAACUGCGAGUGAAGCGGGAAAAGCUCAAAUUUAAAAUCUGGCGGUCUUUGGCCGUCCGAGUUGUAGUCUGGAGAAGUGCUUUCCGCGCUGGACCGUGUACAAGUCUCUUGGAACAGAGCGUCAUAGAGGGUGAGAAUCCCGUCUUUGACACGGACUACCAGUGCUUUGUGAUGCGCUCUCAAAGAGUCGAGUUGUUUGGGAAUGCAGCUCUAAAUGGGUGGUAAAUUCCAUCUAAAGCUAAAUAUUGGCGAGAGACCGAUAGCGAACAAGUACCGUGAGGGAAAGAUGAAAAGCACUUUGGAAAGAGAGUUAAACAGUACGUGAAAUUGCUGAAAGGGAAACGCUUGAAGUCAGUCGCGUUGGCCGGGACUCAGCCUUGCUUUUUGCUUGGUGCAUUUUCCGGUCGACGGGCCAGCAUCGAUUUUGACCGUCGGAAAAGGGCUAGGGAAAUGUGGCACCUUCGGGUGUGUUAUAGUCUCUAGUCGCAUGCGGCGGUUGGGAUCGAGGAACGCAGCGCGCCGCAAGGCAGGGGUUCGCCCACUUUCGCGCUUAGGAUGCUGGCAUAAUGGCUUUAAACGACCCGUCUUGAAACACGGACCAAGGAGUCUAACUUACCUGCGAGUGUUUGGGUGGAAAACCCGAGCGCGUAAUGAAAGUGAAAGUUGAGACCUCUGUCGUGGAGGGCAUCGACGCCCGGACCUGACGUUCUCUGACGGAUCCGCGGUAGAGCAUGUAUGUUGGGACCCGAAAGAUGGUGAACUAUGCCUGAAUAGGGUGAAGCCAGAGGAAACUCUGGUGGAGGCUCGUAGCGAUUCUGACGUGCAAAUCGAUCGUCAAAUUUGGGUAUAGGGGCGAAAGACUAAUCGAACCAUCUAGUAGCUGGUCCUGCGG